GAUCCUGGCUCAGGAUGAACGCUAGCGACAGGCUUAACACAUGCAAGUCGAGGGGCAGCGGGGUGUAGCAAUACACCGCCGGCGACCGGCGCACGGGUGAGUAACGCGUAUCCAACCUGCCUACCACUUGGGGAUAACCUUGCGAAAGUAAGACUAAUACCCAAUGACAUCCCACGAAGACAUCUGAAUGGGAUUAAAGAUUUAUCGGUGAUGGAUGGGGAUGCGUCUGAUUAGCUUG
rnacentral:rRNA from 1 species